GUCGGAUGAUGUUGGGAUCGGGGACGAUGCGCUCAGCAAACUGCCACACCGAGUCCUCAAAGGUUGCAGAGAAGAGCAGCAUCUGACAGUCUUUGGGCAGCUUCCUGUCGUCAGAGCAACACAUCACAAGACUCGAUUCAAGCAUUCAGCAGCGGUGUAAGGAUAUACACAAAGUGCUCCUGCUCACCUGUGGCCACUUGUUCACUGGGUUGACGUGGCUCAGCAUGGCCAGUACGAAGGCGGCGGUUUUCCCCGUGCCGGACUGAGACUGAGCAAUCAGGUUCUGAGGUAGAAACGGUGCGCUCACGGUUCUGCCAGCAUCAUCGGCAGCGCAGUCUCCUGGAUUUUUGAAGGUCUGUUGAAGCCCAUUCCAUAGACUCCCUGCAGCAGCUGAGGUUUUCUGUGAACACAGUGAGCAUGAAUUCAU